UUGAGCUGGAUGUUUGCACAGUCCUCCGGCUCCUGCAGUCUCUUCCCAAUCUCCCUCGGGCCUGAGCAAACCCUGCCAUGGUGCCUGCAGGGAUGAUCUCCCUUCUGUCUGGGCCUAGCCUUCACCUGUGAGCAGGCCAAAGGAGCAGGACAGCACAGCCCAGCCAUCCUUCUCCCUGUUCAUUAUGAAGAUUUCAGAUGAAGACCUAUGAACCAGACAUGGACCCUGAAUCCUUGGAGAUCUGCUCACGAGAGAGGCAGAGAUUCCUGUGCGUUUCUUCCUAAUCCAUCGUACUUGUUUUGCUGUUGACCUAACAAAUCUGAUAUUUCUAGAGGUUAUUCUGACUUCAAAUGUCUCUAUAUUUGCACAUUUCAAGCACUCUCAUU